rnacentral:rRNA from 1 species
GACGAAGGGGGCUAGCGUUGUUCGGAAUUACUGGGCGUAAAGCGCGUGUAGGCGGUUGCCCAAGUCGGGUGUGAAAGCCUUGAGCUCAACUCAAGAAAUGCACUCGGUACUGGGUGACUAGAGGACCGGAGAGGAUAGUGGAAUUCCCAGUGUAGUGGUGAAAUACGUAGAGAUUGGGAAGAACACCAGUGGCGAAGGCGGCUAUCUGGGCCGACAUUGACGCUGAGGAGCGAAAGCGUGGGGAGCGAACAGG